UCGUCCUUCGGUGUCCCGUGCGCGCCGACAGGUGGACCCGUUUGGAAGCGUGAAGCCACGAUAGAGGAAACCCUCCCUCAGUCCUCGUAGGCUCGCCAAUAUCUCGUUCGCCGCCGCCGCCACCGAUUAGAGGACCCUGAUCAACAAAAGCUCCACGCACGACGGGAUCCUCCUCCUCAUGAUCGGAUCAGCCUCCGAUGUCGAGAUCCACCUCCCCUAAGCCAGUAAUCAACCCAAUCUCCUGUUGGGGCCUCUCUUUUGAUCUGCGUUGCCCCUACCUCCAUGCCUUCGCACCAUCUGCCUCCACAUCCGCCCUACCAAUACCUCCAUGCCAAGGCCACCGGCACGGUCUUCGACGAGGAGUCGCUGGCGGCAGCACGAGCAGGCGACGAAGGCGUAGACGGCAGCGCUGGCAGCAACCGGUUGCCACGAAAAGAGUCGAUGAAUGUUUCUUCGUUGCCACGCAGGAUGACGGACGCGAUCUGCCGGAGACUGAUUCAUCUCGUCCGGCCGCGCGUGUUGUGCAGCUCAGCAACAUGGAUUCACAGCGCGAACUGCCUCCGCCCGAUUGCAAGAUGUCCUCCGUCCCUCCGGCUGGCCGGCUCUCCUUGUGUCCCAGAUCCCCUCUACUAUUUUCCCCUUGUCCUACCAUAUUUCCAAUUGCAACUCUUGAUUUGUUAGCUAUGAUUUUUGCAUCUUUCAAUUGGGAAUAUUUCUAGCUAGGUCAUAUAUUUUACAGUAACUGAACUUCUAGCUAGGUCAUAGAUCUUGUUGGUUACAUAUUGUUGUUUCACUGUAUAGGUAGGUAGGAAGUAACGGUGGUGAAGGAUUAUUUUUCAGUAAAAAGAGAGGUGUGAACAAGCACACCCCCAACCUGUAAGUGAAGAAUUGUUUAGGGGUGGUAAACACAUCUUGUUAAGAGGCAUGAGUACUUCCAGUGAGAAGCUAUUCUACUGACCAAACCAUAAACUCCCGUUGAUUGAUGUUAAUGCUACCACUUCUGACAAUACAAAUACUCUUGAUGAUGGCAGAGACAACAUGAAUGGGAGGUUUAGAACUCGAUGGUCCUCUUUCUCUUGGCCAAGGCCCAACCUUGUGUCGGCGUACAUUUGUUUCAGUUGAUCGAGCAAUCUCUUUGCUACACGCAGCGGCUGGAGCAGGUAGUCCGAACGGAACAGUCAACUUAGAUUGCUAUGUUCGUGAUUGGUGUUCUCCUCCUUGAUGAAAUGGUGGAAUCUCAGUUAGUAGAACACUGCCGAUGACUUCCUGAGGUGCUAACGCAUCACAACUUUUUUGGUAGGGGAAGAGAUGGGGCCUGAUGCUGAAGAGGGCGCAUAUAAGGAAGAUGGGGAUAGGGUACAAGUAAGAUGAUACUAACAUACAUUUGUUCUUGUUGCUCGGUUUCUCGAGGGAUUCGGUUUGUCGGUUCCUCAGAUUUGCGUUAUUCUUUUGUUCAAACCCAAUGACAAAUAUACAUUCUGCUGCAAUGUAAGAAUGGUGCAUCUCCUCUGUUUCCUUCGCCAUCCAUUUGCACCGCAGCCGAUAGCCUUAUUCUGCUCUUCAUCUUCCUGAUUUGAAUCACAUGAACAGAGGAAGACCAUAGAAUGCCAAGGACGCCAACCACUGUAGCCGAGCUUGUUGGGUUGAUCGAUAUGCUCACGGUCCUGGCCAGCCGCGUCGUGUUCCGAGCAGCACACCCGAUUAAGUUCUACGCCUCGCCACAACCCCUUUUAUGUAAUCUAACUUCAUAGUGGAAAUCUGAGAUAGAAUUCCACGAUUAGUAUUCUGUGGCAUUGAUCUUUUGUUAGGGCAUAUGCUGCAUUGAUCUCUGCUUGUACUUCUGUGCCACAAUAUAUUUCUUGGAUCCAACUAUACUUGAUAUUGGUACACAUCCAACUGGUAAUGGUUAUCAUUAGGACAGAAAAAAACAUAGCCCAGCUUCCCUUGAUUUUUCUUUUUUUUCAGCAUAAGGUACUUUAUAGAUGAAAGGACAAAUCCACAUCCCUAGGAUAAUUUUAUAAAUAAAACUUGAGUUAAAAGAAUUACUUUGAACAGGAAAAUAUAUCCAAAAAACCAACUUUGUACUGAAAUAAUGUUCAAUACAUAGUCUACCCAAGCAAUUAUAUGAAUGCUCCUGUGUACAUUUUUGUCAGCCCCAUUUCUUUCUUUUUCUAGGCAUAUGUUAUGCAUUUACUUGCAUUAUCCUACUACUGCGGGUUUUAGAAUCACAUAUAUAUCUUGUAAGCUCUGUGUGAAGAGUAUGAAAUAUCAAAUAUGCAUGUGACAAUUAAAUAGAUUAGAGAAUUACACCAUUUCAUACAAAACAAAAAGGAGAAGGAUAUCGUCUUAUGUUUAUGUAUCCUAGGGAUCUUAUUUUUUUCACAUGUGAAAUGUUGUAAAUCCAGGGAGUGAAUAAUCAAGAAAAAAUGCAUGUAUGUACAAUCCAAUCAAUGGUUAUUUGUUCCUAUAGUUUACUGUUAAAAAUCAUUGUACUACAAAUAUCCAUGAUGUAAAAGUCUUAGAAAAAAUUAGCAUCGAAAGAUGGCUAACAAAUUUCACUCAAACUUUAGUUUAACCAGAAAGCCUGCAUUGAUACUGCCAAAACUGUAAAUGUCUGCAGACUGUCCUUCCAGUCAUACUUGGGAUCUUGGCAUUUCAAUUUGACAAUUGAUGAGCUAAUAAAGAGGAUUAGUAUCCUUUAGGAUCUGCUUUGGAGGAUUGUCUGUUUGUAGUUUGCUAGACAUACAAUAUCUUUCCUAUCGAUUUGUACUAGAUGUAGAAUCGUAUAACUAUAUUGAAAAUGUGCCAGGCUACUGACUUAGUAUUUACAAGGGUAUAUGGACUGAAGUUGUCGUUCAACAACCCAUGCUCCUCCUCCAUCUUUGCCCUGGAUUCGUCUAUUUGAUUUGUGACCUUGCCAUCUUCUUCCUGCAGGCUCUCUUGCAGUACCAAGGGGCAGCGGCACGGCAAAGAGUUGGGAGCAGGGACGCGAGCUGGUGCAUGAGUGGCGGAAGUUUAGACGGUGAGCCUUCUCCCUCUCAGCAGUUGGUUUCCCUUCUAUUUUCUACUUUGCAGAUAAUAGAACAUUUAGCUUUUGUUUCCAUUCUAUAUUACCCAAUUCGUAAUUAUCAGGGUAACUUUCUGUGAUAUAGAAUGAGUUGCGUGAUGAUGUGUUGCUUGUAUUUGCAAACAAACAAGAUAUUCCUAAUGUCAUGAAUGCAGCUGAAAUAGUUGACAAGCGUGGUCUGCACUCCCUGCGCCAGUGGUGCCGGUAAGAAGUUUCACACAUGCUUCCUAGCGUCUGUCUGGGACAGGUUGCCAACCUUCCAGUGUCUACCAUCCAACUUAAACCACUGAUAUUGAGUUUAGCUAAAGUGCAGCAUCCUCUGUGAUGAUGUGGCUCUGUUGUAGCAUAUUUUGGAGAAAGGAGCCAAAUUAUCAGUACGUUGGCUAGGUAGGUUGUGUCCAUUAGCCAAUGAUUUAUGGUUUACUUAUCAAAUGUGUCUUCAGCUGAAUUUUAAAAAGCCUGUAGGUGCUAGACUAAUCAUAUCUGAGAUAAUUGUUGGUGUCAUUGUUUACCCUUUUGGAUUCAUAAGGUGCACAUGCUGGUGCUAAAAUAAAUUAUUUUGUGGGGUGCACGUUCAUUCAGAGCGUUUGUGCUAUCUUUUCUAAAGAAGAACUUUAGGAGGACCUGAGGCAUAUUCCUAUUUGGAGAAGAGGCUUAUAUUGGAGACGAUGCUUGCUCAACAGACUUACUUUACCGGUUCUUCUUUGGAUAUGGAUGUUCUAGAAAAUUAAUUCACCGACACUUUUUUGAUGAACAUAAAAUAUUGUUAUGUUCGUAUACUAUUCCAGAACCAUGAAAUAUUGUAGGAACCAACUCAAGGGCCAAUUUGUUGAUAGUUUACUUCAUCUUUGUUGUGCGAUUU